rnacentral:lncRNA from 1 species
CAAAACGUCAAAAAAUGACGUUUUGAGCAUUUUCAAGCCAAAACACGCAGAACAUGAACACACGGGAAACGGUCCAUUUUCCCCAAAAUUCUGCAUCUUUUUCUUGAGCUACCAAUCCUUCGCCUCUCUUCAUCAAUAACAACCACCACCCGCCCCCAAGCCGCCGGACCCAUACACCAUCGGCACCUCCUCACCUUGCUCUACAACCUCCGACCAUCGCCUGCCUACUAGACCGCUGGAAACAGCACUAAUCCCAAUCCAAAACCGUGAGUGUAGUCACGAUUUUUCCUCAUUUACUUUCACAUCCGGCGACCCUCUCGAUCGUGGAGCACCACCACAACAUUCUUCUCAACUAGGCGCAUCUAGUUCUACCAUAGGUCACCCACAAUUUCGUCCAGAAAUCGGGUGAGCUUAUUGGAGUAGAAUCAAAUUUGGGGGUUGGAAAAAUGUAAGUUCUCUUCAUUUUUUAUCGGCUGGAUUUGUGAAUUACACAAGUUUGGGAAACUUUGAUGUGUGAAAUCUGUUUGUUGGUUUUGGUCUUGGGUUCUAGACCUGAGUUUGGGUCUAAUGUUGUUUUUGCUGAAUAUGGGAUACAUUUUAAUCUGAGUUGGAAUAGAUGUUACUGAUGCAAGACGUAACAUAGAGAGGAAAAGACAUAAAUAGAAAGAAAAUAGGAAGAAAUCCGUAUUAAAAAUCAAUAUAAUCAGUAAUAGUCUCAAUACAAUGAAAUCCUGUGCCCUAUUCCUUAAAGAAUUUAUAUGUAAAGGAACUUCAUAGUCCAAGUGUGUCCUAUUCCUUAAAGAAUUGGUUAUUGCACUUUGUCCAGUGUAUAAAUUCUCGUUUGCAUUUGUUUAUUUUUAUUUUUUUUUCAUUCUUCAUCUUUGUACUCAAUUCAUUCUCGAAAUUUUUUUAUUACUUCGAACUUGCAUAUAGCUUAACUGCAUCCUACGGCUCCUUAAUGUUCAUACCAUUAGUCAAUAUCUUUGUCCUGAGUUCAUAGUAUUGAUGAAGAUAACAUCUCAAAGAUUUCAAGUGGGCAAAAGGAACUUCCUUUUGCACUUUGGCCUGGUUGGUCGCUUAUUCUCCCUUGAUUAUCCUAAUUGAUUUAUAACAAAUUUAAAAAAAGAAAAAAAAUAUAUCAACGAAUUUUAAUUUCCAAUAUGUUGCUGCACAUUUCACAUGUCAAGGAGACGAGGUUAUUUUUACGUUUUAACAUCUUAUUGUUUACUGAGGUCCAAGCCAAAAGAAUAUCAUGCUUCUUUUGCACAUUUCAAUUCAUUGAAACCAUAAAACAGAUUUCUAGGACCCCUUAUGGACUUCUCAGAAUGGCUUCCUAAGUUCUUAUUAAUUUGCUAAAGCCUGUAAUUCCUCGUAACAAUCACUUUUUACCUUCUAAUUUCAUUAGAACUACUUAUGAGUUUCUCUUUCUUCUGGUGUAAAUGAUUUUUAAAUGGCAGUUCAUGGAAGAGUGAAUGCUAUUGGUACACGUCAGGUCCACUGGGGGGAUGAGGCAUUGGGAUGUAAUGAAUACAUAAGAUAAUCAGAGGUUCUGUGAACAUAAGUUAAAGCUUUCAUGAGUAUAAAUUCUGAAACUUCUUUUUCUUUCCUGGGAGCUUUUGAAAAUUUGUUUAACAUUGGAGUUAUUAGUUUUCAGUGGUUGGCUUAUGGAUGGACAGGUUAUUAUUUUGUUUAUGAACUGUAUGAAGUGCAUAUAAUGGUAAUAUCGUUUGGCUUUAUGCUUGUUGGUAGUGUUGCAUGUUAGAAUCAUGGGGCUAGCACGAUAGCUAUGAUCAAGUCAAUGAGUUAUUGUGGACUGAGCUUCGGGCUUUAUACCGGAAACAAGGCUUGAACUCUAUAAGCUGAGCUUGGACGAACCUGAUCCUGAGCAUGUAAAGUCUAUAGAAUGAGUAAUUACUGGAUUGGUAUUGCUGUUGUGCAUUUGCUUAUUUCUAGAAUGAGUCGCUUGGUUCCUUUCUAGUUGGGCUUGGAUUAAUGUCGUUGAGUUUGUUGACCACACUAUCCUGUCUAAUAUAUUUAAGUAAUUCUAAUUUACUUCAAACUAUAGGCCUGGGCCAUUGAGAAUAUAUAAUUUGGUUCUGCCUCACCAGAAUAUGAUUGCUUUUUGAAAAUUUUUAUGCAAUAGCAUGUUGAAGAUAUAAAUAUCGAUAAGUUCUUCUUAUCUCUACUAGCAUAAGCUGUCGUUUAUUUCAACAUGGGUUCAUGUUUUACCGCCAAGCAUUUAUGUCAAGCCUUUGACGGGAAGGGGCUUGUUGGAUGUAUUAAUUAAUUCACUAAUUCCUAUGUAUCCUUUUAGAUGAGUUAUUGAUUAAAUAUAUUGUAAAAUCAUAUAUUUCAAACUCUUGCUUGGUGAAACCAUCAUCGUUUAGUCUGUGUCUUUUCAAUUUCAUCUUCCAUUUGCAACUCAAAAGAUGGAUCUUCCAUUUGUAAUUUGAUCUUAUGUAUGUUGUUAUUCUCUUUUGGAGUUUGACAAUCAUCUUUCAUUUCUUUUUAUACAUGUUAUGAGUUCUCUAUCUAGCAGGUUCGCAUGUGGCAAUGAGAUUCAAGGAAUAGGACAAUAUUGCAACCUACGCCAGUGGCGGCUAUUGGUGUUAGUUAACAUUGUUUGAGCACUGUACCUUUUAUUAUUAUACAUCCAAAAAAAAAAAAAAAGGAAUAGAGAGGAUGUUAAUUUUUUGGAUAUGAUCUUGAUUGUGAGUAUAAUAGCAUUAAAUGUGUUAUUUGCCUCAAAAGAACUAUAGACUUUUAAAGUAAUUUGUACGCUUGAGAUUUCAAUCAAGACAAAUUUUGUAUUUCACGAACAUGUUUCAUAUUAUUGAAUUUCGAUUUAUGUUUAUGUUUCGAUUGGUUUGGUCAUUCUGUAUUUAUGCACG